AACUAGUGUUCUAUAAAUACUUUACGUUCUUCUCGGGAUCCCUCACAAUUAUUACUUCUCAUACAAAUCUUUGACUCUUUUUCUUCAACCAAAAAAGGAAAUUUUUUUUAUUGUUUUCUCUUUUCAGUCCAAACCAGAUCUGUUAUCGCUCUAAAAAGAGACUGUAAUGUCGAAAGAUUUGCAUUCAGAUGUAGAGAAAUCUGAGACCCCUUUGAAGCCAUUCAAGAUUUUCGUAGGCUAUGAUCCACGAGAAGAUGUUGCGUAUGAGGUUUGUCGUUAUUCCCUUUUGAAAAGAUCAUCAAUUCCACUUGAGAUAACACCCAUUAAGCAAUGUGAGUUGAGGGAGCAGGGUCUCUAUUGGCGUGAAAGAGGGAAACUGGAAAGUACUGAGUUUUCAUUUUCGCGAUUUUUGACGCCUUACUUGGCAGAUUAUGAGGGUUGGGCUAUGUUUGUUGAUUGUGAUUUCUUGUACAUAGGGGAUAUUAAAGAAUUGAGGGAUAUUGUCGAUGAUAAAUAUGCUUUAAUGUGUGUACAACAUGAUUAUACUCCUAAAGAGACUACGAAAAUGGACGGUGCAGUGCAAACGGUUUAUCCUAGGAAGAAUUGGUCGUCCAUGGUUCUUUAUAACUGUGGACAUCCAAAGAACCGAAGGCUAACACCUGAGGUGGUGAAUGCUGAGUCCGGGGCAUUUCUUCAUCGCUUCAUGUGGUUGGAGGAUGAGGAGAUUGGGGAGGUUCCAUUUGUGUGGAACUUUCUUGUGGGGCAUAAUAAGGUUGUUGAAGGUGAUCCAGCUACAUUUCCUAAGGCGAUUCACUAUACACUUGGUGGACCCUGGUUUGAAGCUUGGAAAGAUUGUGAAUUUGGUGAUUUGUGGUUGAAGGAAUUGGAAGAGUCCAAGAAGGCAAAGGAGAAGGUGGUUUGAGCCAAUGUAGACAACAUUGUUUAAAUCGCAGGGUGUAUGUUAAGCGGUAUUCUCUGUGAAAGUUGAUUAACACUGCUGAUUGCAUAAGCAUCAGAUGCUGUAUAGGAUUGUUGGCCACUGGCCAAUCUUCUCCUCAGAAUUCUACCUCUUAAUGUGGUAACUGCAACAGAAAAGAGAGGAAUCCUUCAACGUGAAAACCGAAUUCAGAAGAUCACGUAAUGUACAACAAUAAUUGAACUUGGCAGUAUCCUCCUGUAGUAAUCCAGCUACACUACUUUUUUAGCUGAUUGAGAUCAUCUGUCUGUUGAAUGAUCAAUUCUUGUAAAAUCAUUGAACGAUCUCAAUACCUCACUCGUGGAAUUACACUAGAUAUGUUGUUGUUCAUUGAACAAUUGUCGGUUAUAAAAAAAAGUUGCAGUUUCGAU